GAUUAUUUAGCACAAUGGUAAUGCGCCCGCUGUUGUUGCCUCUACCACAUAUGACUUGCAGGAAAUCCUGGGUUCGAAUCCUGGGUUGAGCG